UUGUGUUUUUCCUUCCGGAAGUCUUUCCGCUGCAAACUCAUGAUAUGAGCGCCAAGUGCCUGCCUCUUACCGGUUUCGCUAGUCGGCUUUGCAAAGAAUGCUGACUGGAUUGUCCGCAUUCCACAGAUACAAUCACACACACAGUCUCUACACAUAGAGGCUGAUACCAAAACCAAGCCCAAAAUUUGCAGCACAAAGGAAAGUAUCAACGAGUUUGUCCGCAAAGUGUAGUCUAGGCUACUACUACACCGAUACGGCAAACGCUCACAAAUGCAGAGAAUUAAGUGUACAGCCAGUCGUAGCUUUCAGCCAAGUCGUGAGUGUAAUCCAAGUCCAGUGGGUUUGGAAGGCUGUGAAGUGAGCACUUUGCUCAAUAAGAGAAGUCAGAUAUAUUAACAGAGAUAAUGCUAUAGGCGAGUUCACCGACCAUCAGAUACCCAUUACUCAACUAAUGGAAAUGCGUACGCGAAAUUUGAUCAUUUUUCUGGGAAAUAAUAAAUAUUCAGGAAUAAAAUGAGAAAAAUGUGUUUCAAAUUGUUCAAAAGUGUGGGCGUGACAAUUUGGGUCGUUUUGCAGGUGUACGGAGGGGCGUGGCCAAAGUACUCUUUGUAUAGCGAUAGAAAUUGGAAACACAAGACAAGACAAUUUGAGCGUUAGAGUGGGCGUGGCAAAACGUUUUUUGGCAAAUCGAUAGAAAUUUACAGGACUUAUAAAAAUAUGAAAAUAUAUAAAAAAAAUUUUGAGAGUGGCAGUUCUGCGCGGAUUGUGGGCGUAAGAGUGGGCGUGGCAAACAGUUUUUUGCUAAUCGAUAGAAAUUUACAAGAUUAAUAAAAUUGUCAAAAGAUUUUUCAAAAUUGUGGGCGUUUCAGUUCUGGGCGGAAAAUAAACUUGAGCUGCGUUUCUGUCUCUAGAAUAUGAUUGAGAAGACAGUGGCUGAAUAUUUUAAUGGAGCUCUGGGAGUGUAAUCCCACACGGAAGCCAACUCAACAUAAAUGAAUAUUUGUGCCUUAUUAGGUUUAAGAAUAAAGUGUGUGCGCUCUCUUGUAAUCAUGAAUCCACGAAAUACCAUAAAUAAACCAUUUAAUGUGUAGAAUAUAAUGAUACCCUAUCUGACCAUGUAAGUUUUUUUUUU